AUGUUUAUUUAAGGGUAAACUUGUUCUGUAGAAACUGUUUGAAUCACAAAAUAUUUGUUUUAGUUUUUUCUGUAGGUAUAGGUAAUUGGUGUUGAGACAGUUGGGUUGAGACGGGCUUCUGCUUCAAGCAUUGUUCCUAAGGCUCUGUAGAAAUUUGAUAUGGCAGUGUAAGGGGUGUUCCGUUGCAGUAGCUAAUAAAUGCAGAAUUUAAGCGCAUUACCACCAUGCCCCUGCAAUCCAGAUUUCUGACACAGCUGGAUGUAAGAUCUGACAAACUUCUAAAGCUGUUCGAAAAACGAGGAGGACAGAUAGGCAAGCGUCUUGAGAGAACUUUGGCCCCCAUGACUCAAG
ensembl:lncRNA